AACCAGACUCCUACGGGAGGCAGCAGUCGGGAAUAUUGCGCAAUGGAGGAAACUCUGACGCAGUGACGCCGCGUAUAGGAAGAAGGUUUUCGGAUUGUAAACUAUUGUCCACAGGGAAGAUAAAAGACUGUACCUGUGAAGAAAGUUCCGACUAACUACGUGCCAGCAGCCGCGGUAAUACGUAGGGAGCAAGCGUUAUCCGGAAUUAUUGGGUGUAAAGGGUGCGUAGACGGGACUGCAAGUCAGAUGUGAAAAUUAUGGGCUCAACCCAUAACCUGCAUUUGAAACUGUAGUUCUUGAGUGAUGGAGAGGCAGGCGGAAUUCCGUGUGUAGCGGUGAAAUGCGUAGAUAUACGGAGGAACACCAGUGGCGAAGGCGGCCUGCUGGACAUUAACUGACGCUGAGGCGCGAAAGCGUGGGGAGCAAACAGGAUUAGAUACCCUCGUA
rnacentral:rRNA from 1 species